UAGUGCGGAUUCAAUAUCCGUACCUACUGACCACAGUCUAACUUUAUCAGUAGGUUCAAAAAGAAGAAUAAUAAAUACAUUAUAUGGAACUAUUCACUUAUUAUAGUACGGACGCGGAGUACGAAGAAUUUCGCACACCGACUCCCCAUAUUUUGUCUUUGUCGCUCGCAUAUAAACAUAUUUAAUAAUAUAUUCAAUUUUAAAAAUAAUAAAUUCAAUUUUUCUGUUCAGCACGAAGUUUGGUCGAUAAUGUGAACACAAAUAAGGUAGAGUGCUUCAACAACGUAAUAGCAAAAUUUACUGGAGGCAAAA
rnacentral:misc_RNA from 1 species